rnacentral:tRNA from 1 species
GCUCCAGUAGCCCAAUUGGCAGAGGCAAUAGGUUUAAGCCCUAUUAAGGUGUCGGUUCGAAUCCGUCGUGGAGUACAA